AUAUUUUAAAACAAUUAUGCUUUCUUAAUAUCUUCAAUAUUAUACUUUAUAUAAGCUAUUAAAAUA
rnacentral:tRNA from 1 species